ensembl:lncRNA
CUCCCAUCUAUCUCUGAACACCAUCCAGUCCCAUCCUUCAGCUCUACUCAACCCCUCCCAUUUAUCUCUGAACACCAUCCAGUCCCAUCCUUCAGCUCUACUCAACCCCUCCCAUCUAUCUCUGAACACCAUCCAGUCCCAUCCUUCAGCUCCACUCAACCCCUCCCAUCUAUCUCUGAACACCAUCCAGUCCCAUCCUUCAGCUCCACUCAACCCCUCCCAUCUAUCUCUGAACAUCAUCCAGUCCCCUCCUUCAGCUCCACUCAACCCCUCCCAUCUAUCUCUGAACACCAUCCAGUCCCAUCCUUCAGCUCCACCACCCCUCCCAUCUAUCUCUGAACACCAUCCAGUCCCAUCCUUCAGCUCCACUCAACCCCUCCCAUCUAUCUCUGAACACCAUCCAGUCCCAUCCUUCAGCUCCACUCAACCCCUCCCAUCUAUCUCUGAACACCAUCCAGUUUCUAUUUGCCAUAUAUUUUUCAACUGUGCUGUCAUGUUUCACAGAAGUUCUGAACCUUUCUAUUCUCAUAGCUUGCACAGAUUGUAAAUUAAAGAUAAACAUUUUUGUUAAGACUAUUAUUAUAUCAUUGAGUGAUUGACUAUGACUUUUUAAAUCACCCAGCAGUGCUAUUAGCAGAGUUAGCUCUAGGUAAGUGUUGAAAUUCUUCAGCCAUUCCUGAACCUUUGACCAAAAACAAGCUACAUAUGGACAGUACCAGAACAGAUGAUCUAAUGAUUCUGUAUUUUCGCAGAAACAUCUGCAGAGCUGGGAUGGUUGUAUCCCCAACAUACUGUAUACAACAUUCUAUUGGUUGCACAUUUUUAUCUUUAAACUAUCUAAGUUUGAAUCUAGAGUUGUUUUGUAUAUCAGUUCAUGAAAUCAGUACAUACUGAUGACGUUGAUGUUGAUGCAGCCGAUGGUUUCUGUGGCGGAGAGCUCAGGGGUGGGCGUGCUAGUGACUGAACUCCCAGCAGUGGUUACCGAGGGCAGUGGCAAUGCUGACUCCAAGGCUGAUACACCUGUCUCACAGACAACGGAGAAUGAUGUGCCCAGUGUAAUUACAGACAGGCAGGGUGAUGUGCCCAGUGUAAUUACAGACAGGCAGGGUGAUGUGCCCAGUGUAAUUACAGACAAGCAGGGUGAUGUGCCCAGUGUAAUUACAGACACGCGGGGUGAUUGUGGGGAGGAGUUGGAGGCAGUUGGGGGGAGCCGGGGGACUCCGGAUUCCGUGGAGCUGCCCGAUGAGGAUGGAGGAAUGGAGGAGCUGUAAAACAGAUCGGACACUAGAUAGGAACGGGGAGGAAGCUCAUCCACAGUCGGAGGUGGCCUUAACCAAUGUGUUGAAACAGCACGGACUAGAAGACGUGUGGAGACAGGAUCUAUACAUGUGUGAAGGUAGUGGAGGGGAAGAUUAGUGCAGCAUAGCUACAUAAGAUCUAUGUCAGUAACUGGAGAAACAGGGUUUUGGGCUCCAAGAUCUGCCCUAGUGGCAUCUCAUACCAUCACAUGUUAAAAACUUCUGUUCUUUCCAUGACAUAGACUGACCAGCUGGAGGCUAUGAUCCCUUAUUGAUGUCACUUGUUAAAUGCACUUCAAUCAGUGUAGAUGAAAGGGAUGAGACAGGUUAUUAAAGAAGGAUUUUUAAGCAGUACUCUGGGCCAGCUAGGAUAAGGUCUACUAUUCAGAGGUUGGAGCUGGAUAUUAGAGACAUUGACUCAGGAUCAGAGACGGAGUUUGAGGGCUAUGCGGACUAUUCAGAUGUUGGAGCUGUAUAUUAAAGACAUUGACUCAGGAUCAGAGACGGAGUUCUAAAUUCUAAAGUUGUCUGUGAUGAGAUUGAAUCUCACAACCUUUGGGUAGCUAGAUAAUCGAGUUAUAAGCCCUCCCUC